UUGCCUACGGGACGCAGCAGUAGGGAAUAUUGCGCAAUGGGCGAAAGCCUGACGCAGCGACGCCGCGUGAGGGAUGAAGGUCUUCGGAUCGUAAACCUCUGUCAGCAGGGAAGAACGGUCACUGUGCUAAUCAGCAGUGAAUUGACGGUACCUGCAAAGGAAGCACCGGCUAACUCCGUGCCAGCAGCCGCGGUAAUACGGAGGGUGCGAGCGUUAAUCGGAAUUACUGGGCGUAAAGCGCUCGUAGGCGGUAUGUCAAGUCAAGGGUGAGAUGCCCGCGCUCAACGUGGGCACUGCCUUUGAAC
rnacentral:rRNA from 1 species